AGCUUUGCGCAGUGGCAGUAUCGUAGCCAAUGAGGUUUAUCCGAGGCGCGAUUAUUGCUAAUUGAAAACUUUUUAAAGGAAUAUUUUGCUUUAAAUAUGAAUAAGGGAACAUCAAUAUCAAU